rnacentral:rRNA from 1 species
AAAUUGAAGAGUUUGAUCAUGGCUCAGAUUGAACGCUGGCGGCAGGCCUAACACAUGCAAGUCGAACGGUAACAGGAAGCAGCUUGCUGCUUCGCUGACGAGUGGCGGACGGGUGAGUAAUGUCUGGGAAACUGCCUGAUGGAGGGGGAUAACUACUGGAAACGGUAGCUAAUACCGCAUAAUGUCGCAAGACCAAAGAGGGGGACCUUCGGGCCUCUUGCCAUCGGAUGUGCCCAGAUGGGAUUAGCUAGUAGGUGGGGUAACGGCUCACCUAGGCGACGAUCCCUAGCUGGUCUGAGAGGAUGACCAGCCACACUGGAACUGAGACACGGUCCAGACUCCUACGGGAGGCAGCAGUGGGGAAUAUUGCACAAUGGGCGCAAGCCUGAUGCAGCCAUGCCGCGUGUAUGAAGAAGGCCUUCGGGUUGUAAAGUACUUUCAGCGGGGAGGAAGGGAGUAAAGUUAAUACCUUU